rnacentral:rRNA from 1 species
UACGGGGGGGAGCAAGCGUUGUUCGGAUUUACUGGGCGUAAAGGGCGCGUAGGCGGCCACCGCAAGUCAGUUGUGAAAUCUCUGGGCUUAACCCAGAAAGGUCAACUGAUACUGCGGGGCUAGAGUGCAGAAGGGGCAACUGGAAUUCCCAGUGUAGAGGUGAAAUUCGUAGAUAUUGGGAAGAACACCGGUGGCGAAGGCGGCUAUCUGGACCGACAUUGACGCUGAGGCGCGAAAGCGUGGGGAGCAAACAGG